GUCGACCUGGUGCAGGGCGAGCGGUGGACGCAGUCCUCCGGGCUGCCCGUACGGGCGGGAGUCGUCGAUCGGCGGCGGAUCGUCGUCGCCGGUGAGCCC
rnacentral:tRNA from 1 species